rnacentral:tRNA from 1 species
GCACCAGUAGAGUAGUAGUUAACUCAUUUCCCUCCCAUCUACCUCUCGGGCAAGGAAGGAAAGGACCCGGGUGCAAAUCCCGGCUGGUGCA